rnacentral:rRNA from 1 species
GACGAACGCUGGCGGCGUGCUUAACACAUGCAAGUCGAGCGGAAAGGCCCUGCUUUUGUGGGGUGCUCGAGUGGCGAACGGGUGAGUAACACGUGAGUAACCUGCCCUUGACUUUGGGAUAACUUCAGGAAACUGGGGCUAAUACCGGAUAGGAGCUCCUGCUGCAUGGUGGGGGUUGGAAAGUUUCGGCGGUUGGGGAUGGACUCGCGGCUUAUCAGCUUGUUGGUGGGGUAGUGGCUUACCAAGGCUUUGACGGGUAGCCGGCCUGAGAGGGUGACCGGCCACAUUGGGACUGAGAUACGGCCCAGACUCCUACGGGAGGCAGCAGUGGGGAAUAUUGCACAAUGGGCGGAAGCCUGAUGCAGCGACGCCGCGUGCGGGAUGACGGCCUUCGGGUUGUAAACCGCUUUCGCCUGUGACGAAGCGUGAGUGACGGUAAUGGGUAAAGAAGCACCGGCUAACUACGUG